rnacentral:rRNA from 1 species
UGGGGAAUUUUGGACAAUGGGCGAAAGCCUGAUCCAGCAAUGCCGCGUGUGUGAAGAAGGCCUUCGGGUUGUAAAGCACUUUUGUCCGGAAAGAAAUCCUUGGCUCUAAUACAGUCGGGGGAUGACGGUACCGGAAGAAUAAGCACCGGCUAACUACGUGCCAGCAGCCGCGGUAAUACGUAGGGUGCAAGCGUUAAUCGGAAUUACUGGGCGUAAAGCGUGCGCAGGCGGUUUGCUAAGACCGAUGUGAAAUCCCCGGGCUCAACCUGGGAACUGCAUUGGUGACUGGCAGGCUAGAGUAUGGCAGAGGGGGGUAGAAUUCCACGUGUAGCAGUGAAAUGCGUAGAGAUGUGGAGGAAUACCGAUGGCGAAGGCAGCCCCCUGGGCCAAUACUGACGCUCAUGCACGAAAGCGUGGGGAGCAAACAGGAUUAGAUACCCUGGUAGUCCACGCCCUAAACGAUGUCAACUAGUUGUUGGGGAUUCAUUUCCUUAGUAACGUAGCUAACGCGUGAAGUUGACCGCCUGGGGGGUACGGUCGCAAGAUUAAAACUCAAAGGAAUUGAC